GAACAUCGCCUCGGUUCGGGUGAGGCUGGUGCAGAAAUGGUGAAACAGCACCCCUUCUUCAAAGUAGGUUUCUAUUCUAUUCCUUUCAAUUUACAAACAGAAAAGCACUAAUGAAUAUUGCCGUAGCCUCGUAAUGCAUUAUAUAAUUUCUUGUACCAGCAAUUCUAGUUUUUGGACCAGAUACUCAUCAUUAAAUAUUACCUUUUCAUUUAACUUUCAGGAUAUGGACUGGGACCAUCUAGUACACCGAAGCAUAAGGCCUCCAUUUGAACUGGACAACCAAGACCACCUGGAGAGCCAAGAGAACCCUGAAUGCCAGGCUCCGGCACUGACACCGCCUGCUGUAAGGAUUCCAUCAGAGCUGCAAGAGGCAUUCAGAGGAUUCUCAAUGAACAUCAAAUAAGUAGACGGAAUGGAUGGGGAGGGUGGAGGGCCAGUCCAUAUCCAUAUAAGAAGUCUAUUCAUAUAAAGUGAUGAUCAGGUGACCCACCUUAAUAAGUUCUGACUGAGUAGGCUAAUGUAGGAAUAGUCUGCUCAUGGUUUGUAACAUAUUCCAAAACUUCACCUGUAAACAGGCAAGUAAGAUCUAGUAGGUGAGAAACAAACUGUAUUUUUAUAGCAACAGCUGACACUGUAACAUCCUGCCUGGUUUUAAAACAGCACCCUGCAGGUUAUUAUGCAGUCUUUUAUAACUCUGCUCUAUUUGAACAGAUAACUAAGUGUUUGGUUCAGUUUGCCCCACAAUGCAUUCUGUAAUUACUGACUUCUUCUCUACAAUCGACAUUUGGCACCCUUGCCUGCCCCAUGGGAGUCUCUGGAUUCUCAUAUGGUAAGACCUGUUAGCACCCGAGCAGCUGAGAUUUAGGCCCAAAGCCAAAGGUGGCUGUUAUAGAAGAGCAGGCCAAGACUCCCUGUGGUUUGGGAUUCCCUUAAGUGACAAACAGGAAAGUAAAACCUGGCACCAAGUUAGGAAACAAACCAAUAGUUGGCACUACCUCACAUUGUUUGUAUUUGCUUUCUGGUAAGGUUGUAGUUGCCACCUUGGGAGAUCCAGAGAAGAAGAUAUUGAAGAUAUUAAAGAUGGUUACCAUGUUUAUCCACGCCAAGAUAUGAGACAGCGUGGCGACAGUCAAAGGAACUCUUAUUCUGUAAUGAAGAUCAUGGAUCAUAUACUGAACAUUGUACCAAACACUCACUGGAGUCCAUGUGAAGAAAGAAGCCUGUACCCCACCUGCCUAGUGCCACCCACUUUUCCUACUCCAAUAGGCACUAUUUCAUAUAUAACUUGUUUGUUCUGCUCACAUUAUGUAUAUAAUUAUACAAAUAAAAAUAUUGCUUCUAAGAA